AGAAUUUGGAGCAAGAGAGAAAGGAGGAAGUUAUGUUCAUCAAUUCCAUUUUCGCACCUUGGGUACAGCCUCCACUAAAUCAGCUUCUGUUUUGAAGGAGAAAAACGAGUUUGAAGUUGGGACAUGCAUGCUGAAUGUGAUGAAGAAUGGGCUACGGGUUUGAUGAGUUUGGAGUUGGAGUUUUGAUCAAGAUAGGAACUCAAUUGCAGCAUGUUCAUCAUCUAAAGCUCUAUUAAUCCAAUGUGCAGUUUAGUAGCUUUUGGCAGAUAGCAGGUUCGGAUUUAUGGCUUGAAGUGGUGUUGGCUCGAAUACCUCGUCAGAUCUCAUUUUCCGCUGUGCA